GGAUCCUGUACUGAGCUGCCCCGAGGCCCUUUCUUGUGCCCCACUAGGGGCAGCUCAGUACAGGAUGC
rnacentral:pre_miRNA from 10 species